rnacentral:rRNA from 1 species
GAUGAACGCUGGCGGCGUGCCUAAUACAUGCAAGUCGAGCGAACAGACGAGGAGCUUGCUCCUUUGACGUUAGCGGCGGACGGGUGAGUAACACGUAGGUAACCUACCUAUAAGACUGGGAUAACUUCGGGAAACCGGAUCUAAUACCGGAUAAUAUUUCGAACCGCAUGGUUCGAUAGUGAAAGAUGGCUUUGCUCUCACUUAUAGAUGGACCUUCGUCGUAUUAGCUAGUUGGUAAGGUAACGGCUUACCAAGGCAACGAUACGUAGCCGACCUGAGAGGGUGAUCGGCCACACUGGAACUGAGACACGGUCCAGACUCCUACGGGAGGCAGCAGUAGGGAAUCUUCCGCAAUGGGCGAAAGCCUGACGGAGCAACGCCGCGUGAGUGAUGAAGGUCUUCGGAUCGUAAAACUCUGUUAUUAGGGAAGAACAAACGUGUAAGUAACUGUGCACGUCUUGACGGUACCUAAUCAGAAAGCAACGGCUAACUACGUG